rnacentral:lncRNA from 1 species
CCCGGGAAGAUUUGGCGGCUGGAGCCCUGCGCAGGAGCUGUAGCUCUGGGCUGCGGAUUUUACCGCCCCUGCACAGAAGCCUGCAGCGUGGAGGCUCCCCUCGCGCUCGCCCAGACUCGGCUGCAGAAGGAGGACCCACCUCGCGUCUCCCCCGAGGCGCGCACCUCUGUCGCCACCCUCCACGCGCCUAGGAAGUUUUGAAGGUAGAGAAUCUGGGCCCCUCAACUUCCUCUGGACAUGAAUCAAACCGCAGGAGUCUCCAAUAGCGUCAGGUGUCCCCCGGGGAAAGGAGCUGGUGGGGAGUAACCCUCCGCAGAGGAAUUGGAAAGGAAUAGCAAUUGCACUGCUUGUCAUUCUGGUCAUCUGCUCCUUGAUCGUCACCUCGGUCAUACUUCUGACACCAGCGGAAGAUAAUAGUCUGUCUCAAAAGAAGAAGGUCACUGUAGAAGAUCUCUUCAGUGAAGACUUCAAAAUUCAUGACCCCGAGGCUAAGUGGAUAAGUGAUACAGAAUUCAUCUACAGAGAACAGAAAGGAACAGUGAGACUGUGGAAUGUUGAAACAAAUACUUCUACUGUCUUAAUAGAAG